rnacentral:rRNA from 1 species
AUUGAACGCUGGCGGCAUGCCUUACACAUGCAAGUCGAACGGUAACAGGUCUUCGGAUGCUGACGAGUGGCGAACGGGUGAGUAAUACAUCGGAACGUGCCCGAUCGUGGGGGAUAACGAGGCGAAAGCUUUGCUAAUACCGCAUACGAUCUACGGAUGAAAGCGGGGGAUCUUCGGACCUCGCGCAGACGGAGCGGCCGAUGGCAGAUUAGGUAGUUGGUGGGAUAAAAGCUUACCAAGCCGACGAUCUGUAGCUGGUCUGAGAGGAUGAUCAGCCACACUGGGACUGAGACACGGCCCAGACUCCUACGGGAGGCAGCAGUGGGGAAUUUUGGACAAUGGGCGAAAGCCUGAUCCAGCCAUGCCGCGUGCAGGAUGAAGGCCUUCGGGUUGUAAACUGCUUUUGUACGGAACGAAAAGCCUCUUUCUAAUAAAGAGGGGUCAUGACGGUACCGUAAGAAUAAGCACCGGCUAACUACGUG